rnacentral:rRNA from 1 species
GCAGAACGCGAAGAACCUUACCCACCUUUGACAUGUACGGAAGUUGCCAGAGAUGGCUUCGUGCUCGAAAGAGAGCCGUAACACAGGUGCUGCAUGGCUGUCGUCAGCUCGUGUCGUGAGAUGUUGGGUUAAGUCCCGCAACGAGCGCAACCCUUGUCAUUAGUUGCUACGAAAGGGCACUCUAAUGAGACUGCCGGUGACAAUCCGGAGGAAGGUGGGGAUGACGUCAAGUCCUCAUGGCCCUUAUAGGUGGGGCUACACACGUCAUACAAUGGCCGGUACAAAGGGCAGCCAACCCGCGAGGGGGAGCUAAUCCCAUAAAGCCGGUCGUAGUCCGGAUCGCAGUCUGCAACUCGACUGCGUGAAGUCGGAAUCGCUAGUAAUCGUGGAUCAGCAUGUCACGGUGAAUACGUUCCCGGGUCUUGCACACACCG